UACGUAGGGGGCAAGCGGUGUUCGGAUUUACUGGGCGUAAAGGGCGCGUAGGCGGCGCGUAAAGUAGGACAUGAAAUCAUUGGGCUUAACCCAAUGGCUGUGCCCGAUACUUGCGUGCUUAGCGUGCGGGAGAGGCAAUCGGAAUUCUCGGUGUAGCGGUGAAAUGCGUAGAUAUCGAGAGGAACUCCGGUGACGAAGGUGGGUUGCUGGACCGACACUGACGCUGAGGCGCGAAAGGUAGGGGAGCAAACGGG
rnacentral:rRNA from 1 species